rnacentral:lncRNA from 1 species
AAGUAACAGGUCACGAGCCUUAAAGAUCAGUCAUCCUGUGAUGUGUCCUGUCCACUGAUUGUUCCCAUUUUAAAAUAAACCUAGAAAUACCAGAGAAAGCUGCUUAAGAAGCAAAAGAAAUAACAUAGAAAUGUAGAAAAAGGAGGCAUACAAAUAUUCUUUCUCUUGUGGUCAUAAGGGCUUCCCUGGUGGCUCAGAGGUAAAGAAUCUGCCUCCCAAAGCAGGAGACGAGACGUAGGUUCAAUCCCUGGGUUAGGGAAGGUGCCCUAGGGAAGGAAAGAGCAACGCAUUCCAGUAUUCUUGCCUGGAAAAUCCCAUGGACACAAGAUCCUGAAGGGCUACAGUCCAUGGAGUUGCAAAGAGUCAGAUACGACUUAGCAACUAAACAACAACAAUAUCGCAAGUAUAAACCUGGGAAAGCAACCGGUAAAUUAACUCUGACGAUACGGCACAUACAAAAGCAAACGUUACCAAGUGUGUAUUAUGCAAGUGUCAGGCAAUUAGAAAAAAUGCUUGUAAAAUAAGAGAUCCCAAGAGCAGUAAAAAAAAAUCAGAUAAUUCAUUUUUAAUCAUUUUAAUUUAAUUGUUUAAUAAUUGUCUUCCCAUUUACUAGAGAAUAUACAACUUAGCAGGCCCUAAUAGGAGAGAGAAAAAAAAAGGAAGGCAAAAAGCAGAACUGUAUUUUGCUCUUGAGGAAGAAGAAACACAAGAAAGAUGAUGGGCCAGUGGGCAGAACCCAAAUGUUACAUAUUCAGGAAAUUCACAAGACAUUGGCCACGUCCUGAAGAGCUCGAAAUCAGCCAUGUUGGCCACGAUGGGAGUAUUUACACCAAGGGGAUCACCAAGCAUCUUGAAUCAGGUCUUUCCUUCCUGCAGAGCCGUUUUCCUAAACACCGUCACGUCUGGUUUUAACAAGCUAGAAGAAAGUAGAACAGCACUUUUUUCCCCAUCCAUGUAAAAGAAAUUCUGACUAAAGAAAUGGAAACAUCUCAUUGGAUACAAGAUGGAGGGGUUUGAUUAUGUUAAAAAAAAUUAACUUCUUUCAUAAUCAUAUGCAUGAUAAAAUUUUAAAAGAGCAAUGCUAUGCUAUGCUAAGUCACUUCAGUCGUGUCCGACUCUGUUCGACCCCAUAGACGGCAGCCCACCAGGCUCCCCCAUCCCUGGGACUCUCCAGGCAAGAACACUGGAGUGGGUUGCCAUUUCCUUCUCCAAUGCAUGAAAGUGAAAAGUGAAGUCGCUGAGUCGUGUCCGACUCUUCGAAACCCCAUGGACUGCAGCCCACCAGGCU